GGUCUGAACCCAAAGCGUAAGAUAAGAUCAUUUUACAUUAGUAAACUGUACAAGAGUCGUCAUGAUAUACAAAAUAGGAAGCGGGUGGAGAUACACAAAAGAGUUGUUCCAUUAAAGGAACUAGUUAUAUACAAUAGAAAAAGAUCUUCAUCUCAGCACCACACUCCACAUCCGCCGCUCAACCUGCAAACAUUUUAAAAAGAUUUGGCUGAGCACUAUUGUACUCAGUGUGCUAUUGCCGUUUAUAAAACAUUUGGAAAGAACCGUAUAAUAAAAUGUUUCAUGCUUAACAGUAUGCAUAUGAAGCUUUUAAAACACAAAUCAUACAUCAUAAGCAUACAAAACUUCACUUUCUUUAACUGCCUCUACUAUUGGUACAACUUAUAACUGUAUGAUCGUCGAGGAAUUUUCUUCCACAUACGAUUCCCUUCAUCAGAACUGAGGAACCUGGCCAAGUUCUACCCAGUUCUGACUUCCGUGCGCACUACACUCUGGCUAGUACUAGCUCAGAGCACGAUCGUUAACUCCUUGUUAAUUGGCAAAGCCAACUUCAUGCCAGUUAAUAGCACAUACCCAAUAGAGAGUAAAACAUUGAAGCAUGAACAUUCACAUUUUGCUUUCAUAAAUAUCAGAGCUUAGUAACUCAAAAAGUACAUUUGAACAUAAACACACCUGAUAUACAAGAUGGUUUUGGUCUCGCUAUAGAGUGGUUCCACUUAGGUAUCCUCUUCAGUUGGGCCUACAAUAUAAACCUUAGGUUUAGUGUCGAUAAACUAAAGCUACAACAUUAUCAUAUAUAAUCUACUCUUCAUCAUAGGUCUAUACUUCAAUCCUAGAUUCGCAACACUGACUUAAUAAAUUAUAAAGUUUUAGUAUAUCAUGAGUAUGCAUGCUUUUUACUCAAUAGUAACAUAAUUUCUCAACUAAAUGCAAAGUACAUAAUCAACCUUCCGUAUUUCACUCAACUUCAAAACAUAUUAUCAAUUCAUUGAAAAUGAAUCAGAGAAUAUGACAUAUGAUUUUGAAAACCUCUAGAUGUCUAUUUUCUUUUAGAGGAAACUAUGAAUUAAAAUAGUUAUUAGGUAAUGAGAUGUGUACAAUUUAGUAUAAUCUACCAAAAAUAGACAGUUUCAGACCAUAUAAUUAGAAAUUACUUGAAAAAUACUAAACCUCAUGAAAUAAAGUUAAAAUUUAAACCACAAUAUCACAACACAUUAUACUUAAUAUGGAAAAAAUUUCAGAUUAAUAUAACUAUAUAUGACCUUUCAAAUAAUUUGUCAAAUAUUAACCAAAAUAACUGUCCAAAAAUAACACUCUGCAAACUAACUCAUUUAGAAAAUUUGUAUAUUAUUAUAUACAUUAAAUAAAAAUAUAAACUAUACAUUUCCAGAAACCUAAGAAUAUACAGUUACAGU
rnacentral:lncRNA from 1 species